AAUAAUGACUCCAAUAUGGAAGAUGAGAACAAAUGGAAGGGCAGAGUUCCCAUUUACUGAAAUAAGUAAGAUCAAUUUGGAGAGAGAAUGAAAUCAAGAGUUCAUUUUUAUAUAUGGUAAUUUUGAGAUGUCUAUUAGAAACACAGCUGGAGAUGUUAAGACAGGUAUCAGUCUCCAGUUCAGGAAAGGAGUCCAAGGUGGAGAUACAAAUUUGAGAGUCAGCUUAUAGAUGUUAUCCAUUAGAAAGUUCGUAUGGAUACAAAAAAGAAGAUAUCUGAGGCCUGAGACCUUGAGCACCUCAGCAUUUAAAAGCCCUGGAGGUGAGGAGGAACUUGCAAAGGAGGCUGAGAAGCAGCAGUCAAUGAGCAAGUGGGACAAACAGCAGCACUCACCCCUACAGGCACCUUCCAGGAGUGUUUGGCCAGUGCCCCUACCAGCUUCCCUGUGAGUUUCAGCAGCACCUGCAAGAAGAGCUUCCCACAGAAUUCUGCUGGUGCCUCAGCCAGCAUCCCAGCUAGAGCAGCACCAGAUAAGUUCCACUGGCACCCCAGCAGGCUUCCCAGUGAGUUCAACGGCUCCUCAAGUGGCUUCCCAGUACAUUCUACUGACACUCCAGGCAGUUUCGCAGGGAGUUUCGUCAGCUCCACAGUGGACACUUUCCUCUUUGCCAGCCCCAGACUGUGGGGCCAUCGAGUGAGCUACUGCCAUACCCUACCCAGUAAGGUCUGAAUCUCAGCCUUCGCGAUGGGGUUAGGGUUUCUUUAAAAAUUUGUGUCUUCUUUGGGUACUCUGCCUCAGCACUAGGAAUAGCAGCUGCUUCCUGUAUCUGCUAUUACUGCAUGCUUUAAAAAAAAAAUUUUUUUACAAUCUCUCAUUUUAUUAUUAUAAUUUUUCUAAAUUUCUUUUUUGUUUUUUUUUUUGAAACAGAAUCUCAUGGUCACCCAGGCUGUAGUGCAGUGGCGCACUCUUUGGCUCACUGCAACCUCCGCCUCCCCGGUUCAAGUGAUUCUCCCACUUCAGACUCCUGAGUAGCUGGGACUAUAGGUGUGCGCCACCACACCUGGCUAAUUUUUGUAUUUUUAGUAGAGAAAGGGUUUCACCAUGUUGGCCAGGCUGGUCUGGAACUCCUGACCCCAAGUGACCCACCCGCCUUGACCUCCCAAAGUGCUGGGAUUACAGGCGUGAACCACCACACCUGACCUAUGAUAGAUUUUAAACAAAGUGACUGAUCAUUCCUACUAUAUAAAGUUUAUCUUACAGCAGUGUGUAUACAUACAUAUCUAAGGCUGUGUAUAUGUAUAUGUAUGUGUAUGUAAUCCAAAAUGAAACAAGCUCCAUAUACCAAAGCAUGCAGCUACUGACAUAAAGAAAAUGUCAAAUUCCUGCAA
ensembl:lncRNA novel transcript, antisense to NEK1